GCCAAGUUGUGAAUCUUCAGGUAUUUAGAUAGGUUGAUAUGAUAAUAUGCUUUCAAAUGCAUCAAGUAAGGAGGUACCGGGUUUGAUUCAAGGUGAUUUGUGUUGAUUAAUGUCUGAAUGUCAAUUGAAACUAGGUACUUGCCUUCAUUGCAAUACAUUAGUUUGUCUCCUUCAGAGAUGUGUUUUAUACUCUUCUGAUGUAACUUUACACCAGGUUCGUCCUCAUGUCAAAUGACAUAGAGAAGCUUCCAUCAUAUUAGAAUAGUUGUGUAAUGUGUGGUCAUAUUCAUCGCUAAGUGCACCCAUCCUAAACUACACAAAAUAGCACGGAUCAAUCACAGCCUCACAAUCAGGAUCACUUAAUCUAAUCUAACCGGUAAGAUUAUGCUAACCCUCAGCCAAAAGUGCGUUUAGCAAUUUUCGUGGGCCGACGAAAACUCUGUCGUCCCACGUUCACGAUCUCUACCACCGCACAAAAAUAGGAAACUGAUCGCAAUCAGAUAUCCUUAAUUUGUGCACUGCGAUUGCUAGUGCUCGCUCAAAAAAACUAUCCCGCGACCCAGGCCGCACGAGACACGAAUGGACGAGCGUCUUCCCAUCUAAUAAACCACAACAAAGAUCGGAGGCGGCGAGGGCGCGGCCCAUGGGGCAGGACAUCGCUGCUGGCAAUGCUCCUCGGCAAGACGAUGCUGGAGAUCGGCUAGGCCAGUUAGUUCGCCCGGGACAUCAUUGCGCGAAGGCAGUUCCGCCCAAGAUCUCACAGCGGCGACGCCCAUCGCGAGGACCAGGAAAGCCACCGCGGAGCAGAUGCCACUCCAUGCCAAUCGCGCCAAGGAGAAGCAGAGACAGCGGGUCACGGCCGGAGCCGAGGCCGGCACGCCGCCGUUCCGUGUGCACGUCCGGUACCACCUACAGUUCAAGCCCACCUAGCCCCGCUGGCCACCCGUAUGUGUCGGCGGCGAAUAGGGUAUCCCCCAAGAACCGGCUGUCGCACCCUCCUCCUCCACGGUGUACGCCUAGCCGCCGGCGAGAAAGAAACAGAAGCCGUCCUACAAGACUCGGUACCUUGUCAUGGCCGCGCAAACGCUGCACAAGUUCCUGGGUUAGUGAUCUAUGGAUCUAUUAUAUUUCUUUGGAUCUUAUCUUCUUAUUUAUCUUUCAAGGAUACCAGCAGCUGUUGGAGCUAAUGGCCUAAUGCAGAUCUGAAAAAAUAUGAACGUAAGAGGAAGACCAACUACUUCAGUUGGAUUUUACUUUUGUCAUGGUGCUCCCUGUUGACUACUGUUUGCUUGUUGAGUUAGCUCGUACAUAGAUGUAUUCCCUUCUUAUCAGAUGAGAUGCAGUUUGUUACCACAUCCAAGAAUUGGUUUUCUUCCGCAUGCAGAAACAAUGCCCUGCAUGUUCAAAUCAGUUAUCUUGUCAUUCCUCAAGUUUCUUACUUUCUUUUGACCUUGUUUUGCAGAGCUGGAGGUAGUUCUGGGGCGAGAUCCGAUGUGUGUUGACGUAGAGUAGCUCACCAAUCCAUCGGGGCUUCUUUUUUAUUUGCCGGUACCUGACGAACUCUAUGAGCUUUCUUCGUGGAUUGGAGACAUUAUUAGCUACCUCCAAGUUGAUUCUUUGAUUUUUAUUUUGACUUUUUUGCUCAUUCUCUGCUCAGUGGGUGUAGGAUCGGUGCAAUGUGGUUGCGAGCUGUCCCGUCAUAACGCAUGUCUCCCUAAAGGUUCGUGACCCCUUUAUCUUUUUUUUUCCAUACCUAUCUUUCGAGGGUUUUUUGUGUCAAAGUAUCUGCUAAUCAUUGAAAAUUUCAUUAUGCGUCAUGUUCUAUUUUAUGAUUGGUUGAUUAGCUCUGGUGAUAUUUUGAAAUAAUGUUGAUUUAACCAUAUUGAUCAGAAAUUGGUACAACUCUUUACACCUUUCCUUGCUCAUUGUGCUGAAUUAAACAUCAAGUCGAUAAUAUGAUAUGCUUACAUAUAGACGCCAUUCAAUUGAUAUGACUGCAUGAGGGCGAAACAAGCAGCACUCAGAGCUUCAACAACAAGAUAAGGUUUAACAGUUGAGUGGUAUUUUUGCUAGAUGCAUUUCUUUCCAUUUUUAUCUGAAUAGCCAUGAACAUAUAGCUGCAGAUGUUAUUAAGCAAGCUACUAGGAGUCCUUGAACAAGCAUCCAAAGUUACCUGCUCUACCUGAACUUCCACCUUAGACUCAGAGGACUCUCAAGAACCCCGCAACGCUUGCCUGACUAAUGAGUUGCUAUUCAAUUCUCAGUCUCUCAAUUGGAUCAGAGUCUUCAAAUGUGCAUCUUUAACUCAUUAUUAUGUGUGUUUGUUUAGUAUAGUUGGAUUGAGUCACUUUAUGUGCUUAUUCCCAGUUGACUAUGCUCAAUUCAGUUAAUAGAAUUUUUGGAUUCAAUUUUCAGAAAUAUUUCAUAUGCAGAAGAGCUGAGGCACAUGUGUGGUCAUUGGGCGACUGGUUUGCCAAGUUGUGAAUCUUCAGGUAUUUAGAUAGGUUGAUAUGAGGAUCUGCUUUCAUAUGCAUCAAGUAAGGAGCUACCGGGUUUGAUUCAAGGUGAUUUGUGUUGAUUAAUGUCUGAAUGUCAAUUGAAACUAGGUACUUGCGUACAUUGCAAUACAUUAGUUUGUCUCCUUCAGAGAUGUGUUUUAUACUCUUCCGAUGUAACUUUACACCAGGUUCGUCUUCA
rnacentral:lncRNA from 1 species